rnacentral:pre_miRNA from 1 species
AGCUUUUCGAAUCCGUGCUGAGAUUUCGUUUGAUACCAGCCCAUUAAGGCUGAUCAAAAUUCCAAGAUAAGUGAAGUU